rnacentral:rRNA from 1 species
UGCCAGCCGCCGCGGUAAUACGGAGGUUGCAAGCGUUGUUCGGAUUUACUGGGCGUAAAGGGAGCGCAGGCGGCUAGGUUAGUUUGAAGUGAAAUCCCGGGGCUCAACCUCGGAACUGCUUUGAAUACUGCCUAGCUUGAGUAUGUGAGAGGUGAGCGGAAUUUCAGGUGUAGCGGUGAAAUGCGUAGAUAUCUGAAGGAACAUCGGUGGCGAAAGCGGCUCACUGGCACAAAACUGACGCUGAGGCUCGAAAGCGUGGGGAGCGAACGGGAUUAGAUA